GACGAACGCUGGCGGCGUGCCUAACACAUGCAAGUCGAACGAGACCUUCGGGUCUAGUGGCGCACGGGUGCGUAACGCGUGGGAACCUGCCCUUAGGUUCGGAAUAACUCCCCGAAAGGGGUGCUAAUACCGGAUAAUGUCUUCGGACCAAGAGUUUAUCGCCUUUGGGUGGGCCCGCGUUGGUUUAGCUAGUUGGUAGGGUAAAAGCCUACCAAGGCGACGAUCCAGAGCUGGUCUGAGAGGAUGAUAAGCCACACUGGGACUGAGACACGGCCCAGGCUGCUACGGGAGGCAGCAGUGGGGAAUAUUGGACAAGGGGCGAAAGCCUGAUCCAGCAAUGCCGCGUGAGUGAUGAAGGCCUUAGGGUUGUAAAGCUCUUUUACCCGGGAUGAUAAUGACAGUACCGGGAGAAUAAGCUCCGGCUAACUACGUG
rnacentral:rRNA from 1 species